rnacentral:lncRNA from 1 species
UUUUUUUUGUUUGUUUGUUUUUUUGCUUUUUAGGGAAGCAUCUGCAGCAUAUGGAAGUUCCUGGGCUGGGGGUCGAACUGGAGCUGCAGCUGCAUGCCACAACCAUAGCAAUGCAGGAUCCAAGCCUCGUCAGCAACCUAUGCCACAAUUUGCAGCAAUGCCAGAUCCUUAACCCACUGAGUGAGACUAGAGAUUGAACCUGCAUCCUCAAGAACACUAUGUCAGGUUCUUAACCAGCUGAGUCCCCAUGGGAACUCUACGUAUGACAAUUGUAAACAUGGUUGCUGCUGUCUCAAUUCUGCCCUCAUGAAACUGUCUCACUGGGAGCCCUGAGCCACCCUGUAGGAAGUUCCACUGAAGCCCAAAGAUCACAGUGAUAUGAGAAAGCCCAAGCUACAGAAAGAAGCCAGGGAGAGGCCCUCUGAUGGGUGGUCUCACCUGAGCCCAGACUUCAAGUCCUCCCAACCCUGGAACCAGGCAUGUGAGUGGAAAUACUUCAGAUAAUUCCAGCCCUAAAGCAUUUGAGUCACCUCAUCUGUUUGAGACUUUCGGCUGAGGUCGCAGACUUUCUGGAGCAGAGACAGAAUUUGUGAGCAUAACAAGAUAGUGGUGUUGUAUGUUACUAAGUUUGAAGCAGGUUAUUACACAGCUAGAGAUACAUACAUAUCUCUGUGCGUACUCAUCUCCUCACCUCUGGGAACAUGGCGCAUACUUAAUAAGGAAGAGCACAAGGAGAUCUUUAAUGCCAAAAGAAAUGUUCAGUUAGUCAUGGUUAACAAUUUGGAUGAAGAAUCUUUAUUUUAUUUUUUAAAUUUUUUUGCUUUUUAGGGCCACAUCUAUAGCACAUAAAAGUUCCUGGACUAGGGGUCCAUUCGGAUCCUCAGCUGCCAGCCUACACCACAGCCACAGCAACGUGGCAUCUGAGCCCCGUCUUUGACCUACACCCGUCUAUGGCAACACUGGAUCCUUAAUCCACUGAGCGAGGCCAGAGAUUGAACCCUUAGGUCCUCAUGGAUACUAGUCGGGUUCGUUACUGCUGAGCCAUGACGGGAACUCCUGGAUGAAGAAUCUUUAAAUAUAUAUCAGUAAUUGGUGAAGAAGUUGAUGGAUGCUCCACUCUUUUAGGAAAUAUUAUCUUUUGAGUUUUGUAGAUUGUUUUUGUCUUCAUCAGCUUACGGGACUAUCGCAAAAUACCUUUGGCUGGGUGGCUUAAACAAUAGCAAUUUAUUUCCUUACCAUUCUGGAGGCUACGAUUCCAAGAUCGAAUUGCCAGCAUGGUGAAUUUCUGGCAAGAUCUCUCCUCUUGGCUUGUAGAUGGCUGCCUUCUUGCUGUGUCCUCAUAAGGCAGGAGGAGGGAGAGGAAGAGCAAGCUCUUUGGUGUCUUUUCUUAAUAGGGGCACUUAUCUCAUGAGAACCCUAAUUAUCUCUCAAAGGCCCUAUCUCCACAUAUUGUCACAUUGGGGGUUAGACUUCAACAUUAUGAAUUUUGGGGACACACAAUUCAAUCCCUAGCAGCUAUUUUGUGAUGUGGAAUAAUUUCUAGUACUGAUGUGCUCCCAUGUCAAUUCUAAAAAGUCCCUAUUACUAUAUUGCUUACCUGUUAAGUAAUAGCUGAGGAAAGAUUUCAAAAUUCAUGUCAAUAUGCGUGACAAAGAGUUGAUGUAACUUCUGUAAAAAAAACUUCUACAAAUUUAUAAGAAAUAAACUUAAUAGAAAAGAAGCCUAGAAUAUAGAAAGCAUAUUAGUAAAGAGAGAAUGCGAAAGUAUGAAAACAUAUGUAAAUAAACAUAUGUAAAGAUGUUAACAUUUCUGGUAAUUAGGAAAAUGUAAUUUAAAAUAACAAGAUACUGUUUUUCACUUAGUCAAAGCAGGCAUGACUCUGGGGAAACAGGUACUUUCUUGUAAUUGGGGAGAGUAUGAAUAUUUUUGAAAAUAAAUUAGCAAUAUUUAUACAAAAUUGAAGUGUGCCUAUCCAUUGAUUUAGCAAUCUUCUAAGAAUAAACUCUUUGAAAAUAUACACACCAGUCUGCAAGACUCUCUAUAUAGAAGUAUCUAUUAUAAGAUUGAUUGUAAUAAGAAUUGGGAGAAAUAUGACAUAAUUAAGUGACUUAGAUAUACAAAAGAAUAUCAUGCAGCUAUUUAGAAGUAUGAAUUAAAAAACAUAUAAUGUAUUGUCAGAUUAAAAAAGGUAUAAUCCUACUAUUUUCUAAAGAACAAAAAACUUAUUUUUGUCAAGCAUAGAGAAAGGGUAGAUAGCUAUACACCAAAAAGCUGAAAUUGAUUACCUUACAAGAUAAACCAGGAACACAAUUAGAUUUUUCCUUUAUAAACUUCUACAGUGUAGUACUUAUUACAACAAGCACUUCUUACAAUAAAGUUGAAAAAACAUCAAAAAUCCUAUGCCAUACCAAAUGUAUCCAGUUCAUCCUAUUUUUUUAUCAGAUAAUUGGCUUCCUUUCUUUGAAAGCUUCCAUAUUCAUCUCUGACAAUGUACUUCAUAGAUUUUAGGUGCUAUGCUUGGUGGUAGGACAUUUACAAAGGAUAGUGUUUGAUCACAGCCAGAACCUAGAAUUGCAGAAAGUAACAGAGCAUUGCAGGGGAACUUAGAGAUCUUUUGGUCAAACCCUUCAUUCUAUAGAUGAUGAUUUUGAGGCCCAAAGGGAGACUGACUUGCCCAAUAUUAUAUCGUAGUUAAUGACAUUCUCAUUUUGAGUCUGGCUAAUCACAGGUGUAUAUGAAAUCUACGCAAAGAGUACCCAAAAGAAAAGAUAUAGCAAAAUGUAUCCAUCAAGCAAUAGAACAGCAGGUAUUCACUGGCAGUCCAAUCAUUACUUAGGCACUGGGUUCAGGACUAAGCAUCUGUCACAUUUCUUUAGGCUCUGACUCAUUAUUUCUAGACCCAGCCUUUGGCCUCUUUAACAAAUUUGCGUGAAGAGUUGUAGCUCCUCCUCUUUACUGACUACUCUUUUUCUUUUCCUUUACUGAUUACAAAAUCAGUCAAACAACCUCUCCCUAUAAGUAACCUUCUUAAUCAAAAGAGAUAAACUCAGACAAACAGGAUUCUGGUAAGCGAUUGAGAAUUUAAUCGAACUUGCGUCAUAAGAUUUUCAUGAAACUUGGUCCCUAAGCUCCUAAAGAGAUCUGUAAAGAUUUAGAUGGAAGGAUUAGACUUUUUCAGAUGGGAUGGGAAAAUAACCUUUAGUUCAAAUUAUAAUAAUGUAUUUGGAAGAGAAGCUGGCUGCUUUGGGAAGCUGGAUACUUUGGGAAGUUAUGUGCAAUCAGAAAUCACUUGAACUGUGAAAGGUCAGCUAUUGGAAAUGGUUAAACACAUUUUAUGGCUGUGUUUCUCAUUUGAUUUGGCUGUUCCUGCUACACUGUCAUGUCUCUAAAGUGAAGACUUGACAUUUGGACAGAAGCUGUUGAACUGUGUAAGGAAAGCCCAGUAUGUUCUUCUAAAAUUUUCCUAUUUAUUUAUUUAUAGUUUUAAAAUGCCUAUUCCUUAUCUAGCCUAUCAUUUUAUAUUUCUAUUUUUAAUUUUUAAUAUAGGGUUUUACUAUAGCGUUCUGCCUAGAAUCCCUUCUCGGCUUUAGUUGAACAAAAUACCAAUAUUUUAGCUUUUCUGGAAGGGCUCAAAGUGGAAUACUUCUAUUUUUACCCAGUGUGCCCUAUUUUUAUAAUAAAAUGGACCGCUGAAAGGCUUUUAAAGUGUAAUAUAAAUUUGGGUUUUAUUGCUAGGCAUUCUAGAUAGUGUGCAAACUUGAAAUCUUAAGGAAAAUAAAACUUCUAUUUCUUUCUUUUUUCUUUUUUUUUUUUUUUUUUUUUUUUUUUGUCUUUUUGCCUUUUCUAGGGCUGCUGCCACGGCAUAUAAAGUUUCCCAGGCUAGGGGUCUAAUCGGAGCUACAAUUGUUGUCCUACGCCAGAGCCACAGCAAUGUGGGAUCCGAACUGCGUCUGCAACCUACACCACAGCUCACGGCAACGCCAGAUCCUUAACCCACUGAGCAAGGGCAGGGACCGAACCUGCAACCUCAUGGUUCCUGGUCGGAUUCGUUAACCACUGCACCAUGACGGGAACUCCAAAACUUCUAUUUCUAAGGGUCUACAUGUGAAGUGGUAUUUGUUUAGUCUACCGAUAUAAAUCACCACUAUUUGGGUGAGGAAGGAGAUACAGUCUAAAUGAAAGACAAUGAGUUUCACCUCUUUAUCUCAAGGAUUCAAUAUAUAUAUAUUUAAAUCAACAUCAGAGUAAUAGUGAAACAAUGGAUUAUUGUACCAGAGGUAGUGGGGUCUAAUGGCUAAGAAUGAUAACACCCACCUUUGAAUAUCUUCACCGUUUCCUAGCUCUGUUAUGUGGGACCCAUGAUUUAAGCCUUCCAAGCUUGUUUCUGGAAUUUAAAGAUGAGAUAAUAGUGGUACCUACCUCUUUGAGUUCUUAAAAUAAUUGAAAGGUACCUGUGAAUUGUUUAACAGGGUGCUUCACACACUGUAUGAAAUCAGUAAGGGCUGGCUAUUGUUACUGUUAACUGAAAACAUUCAGAGAGGACGUUCUCAUUGAAACCGGUGGCUACAAAAAAGCAUUCAGAACAAGGGAGGCAGGAUGUAUCCUGAGUGUUCCGUUGGNUUUUUUUUUUUUUUUUUUUUUUUUGCAUGUGCAAGUUUCCAGGCUAGGAGUAGAAUCAGAGCUACAGCUGCCAGCCUAUGCCAUAGCCAUGACAACAUGACAACUUGGGAUCUGAGCAGCAUCUGUGACCUACAGAACAGCUCACGGCAAUGCCUGAUCUUUAACCCACUGAUCAAGGCCAGGGAUCGAACCUGCAUCCUCAUGGAUACUAGCUGAGGUCGUUACUGCUGAGCC